rnacentral:tRNA from 1 species
CAUUUAAAGAAAUAUAAAAGAAGCUUCUAACUUCUAAAAUAGCAGUAAUUUGUUAAUAUUUCU